CACACAGUCCGCAGCCGCCCCUUGUGUAUAUAAUGAGCUGAGGAAUUGGCAGCACGUGAUGUCACCGCUCGGGUGCAAAUGUGUUGGGGGCGCAGAGUGUGGAGAGCGGAUGACGUCACUGCCCAUAUAUAAGGCGCGGUCUGCGGACUCGGAGUCCACAGCCAUUCAGCAGAACACAGGCCUCCCGCUCACUGCUCCUCCAGCCACUGCCCGAGCUGUCACCUACCGGAGCCGGUGAGUGCUGCCAGAGAGACACCGGGGGGAGAGAGGAGACUACAGUGCACCCUGUAUAUAGCGCUUGGAGGUCAUCGCGCUGACACCGCUCUGUACAUAAGACAUUACAUGGCAGUUCUGUAUCUUGCGCAUGCGCUGUUCUGAUGUACUGUGGAGCAAGGAACCGCUGCCCAGGGCUUCAUCUCCACCCCCAGCGGUGAAGCUCAGUCCACGCUCCAGAUGUGGAUCCAGCGGAAGGAGAGGUAGAAGUCCUUCCAUUAUAUUUCUGGCUGAAUCUCCCUGAAAGCCUCUGUGAACCUCCCCUCCCCCCUGGACUGUCUCCUGUGGCCAGUACCUCCCAUCACUGCGCAGGUGUAAGAUUUCUCAAUGGGUUUUGAAUGAAGGGUCCUUGUGGUGGCCUUAGCGUCAAGGUUCCUUCACCAGGGAACUGCAGCCUCGUUCCGUCUCAGGAUUGCUGGAGUGUGUGGAUAUGUGUGAUGUGCGGUGUCUGGCGGUAGAUAGGUUUAUGCAGUGUAUAAUGGUUUUAUACCCAGAUAUCCCAGAGAACCGGGGCAGGCUCCAGUCCACGAGACCCAGAGGAUGGUGGAGGUGAACGUCAACAUGGCGCAACAGUAAGAGCCCACAUAGCGGGGGGGACCUCAAUCAUCCCCUCCGCUCUGCUGUUCCAGUGUUCAGGUCCCUACUCGUCUCCAGCCGACACUGUAGAGUAUGGCCACUCAGCCGGUCACAGGGGCAUUUGGGGGAUGUUCUCACCAUUUGCGCCAUUUCUAGGGAGAGUUACUCUUCUAAUUUUCUGUUUGCAGAUUUGCACACGUAGCAACGAUGUAGAGAGAAGAUGCAGACUCUGCAGACGGAGGGAGAGGGGUCGAAACAUUGGCCAGAAUCCGUGUACAGAGAGAACCUACAGCCGAAUCUGCGGGGGAGGGGGAGAGACCGCACCACCUCUCCUCCCACGUCUGUCACAUUCAGUCCACAUAUUACUCCCCAUAACUACAACCCUCAUCUAUUUCUUUCCCGGUUUAGGGUGAGCAAAUUGCUCCUAGUUCCCGAUUUCUGGCUGAUUUGUGGCAUCGGAGGGCUCGGCUCUGGACAGUGACCACGUUCCUUUGUCUGUUUGAUGUCUGCAUGUAGACAUACAGCCUGGCUGGCGAUCUACAGGGCUCGUCUGCACAUAACUCUGACUGCGUGUGGUUUCAUGGCAUGGGCUAUUACUUCUCGAAGGAGGCCAUGAGCUGGAUGUCCAGUAGGAAGUUCUGCGAGGAGCAGGGGGCCAGCCUGGCCCUCAUCAGGGACGCUCAUAUAAAGGAUUCGGUGAGGCUGCCGUUUGCUUAUGAUCAGCAGGAGCCGCUGGAGGACAUGACAGAUCCUUUCUGAGUCCCUGAGCAGUCGUGGUUUAUGGAUUUCGGUCCAUUGCAGGACGACUUGAAACACUUCAUGCAGGACAGCGAGGGCCAGUGGUGUGGACAGGCUCUGGUAGACGGAGAGUUAAAGUGGCUAGACGAGAUGGCUGAUGAGAGCUGCUACCUGACCUGAGAAGAUGCUGGAGAGUAUGUAGGGGCGCUACUUCACCUUCUGCUGGUGGAAGGACCUAUAAACUGGGUGCUCAUAUUAUAUUAUAGCAGGACGGAGGUCGGCGACAUGUUCCUCUCCGCACAAUCCAGAAGAUGGGUGGAUCCGGUGAUCUUUCUCUGUUCCCCAAUUCACAGUGCAGGACAUGGUGAUGACUUGUCUCCACGUUCCUCAGAUCUCUCCCCAAUCUGCAUCUGUGGGAUGUGCUGGAAAACAAGUCCGAUCUAUGGAGGAUGCACCUCACCACGUAUAAGACUUCACCCUUUUACUGCCAGGGCAAUUUUAACACUUUCAAUCCACUCAAGUAAAUCCUAAUACAACCCCUUCCCCGAAUACCCAACUCUUUUACAGGUUAGACACGCACUUCUGUCCACGUGCAGAUAUCAUCACCAGACCUGAAGAGACCAGAAACAGCCACAAUGGGCUGGAGGGAUGACAGGAGGAUAAGGUCCUGUAUCCACCCAUGAGGUCACUAGAGGAUGUAUGGGGCGAGAUUAGUAUAAACGGCUAUAGCUGGUGAGAGGGGUGAUAGCACGAAGAGAGGUUCCUGUAGGAGAAUCCAGCCGAGACUAGAAGGAAAUCUUUCCUGACGUCAUACAUGUUCUGGGCCUAUGAUGUUAGAGCUUUCUUCAUAUGAAAGCCGAGGCUGUGAGCUUCAGUCUGACGUCACGCUUGAGCCCUCACAUCCUAGCCAUGUAUAGUCCACAUAUUAUAAUUCCCUGGCAGUGAAAGGGUUUAAAUCCCAAGACAUUAACAUGACCUGGUGUGAACGUCAGCUUCCACAUUUCAGGCAUGGAUGAUCCUGCUGAAAACCCCACCACUUGUGGUUCCUCACUGUGCCGGCCGCUGGAUGUCAGUCCCAUCACCACAUCCUUCAGUCCUCAUCCACCUCCAGAGACCAAACUAACCCUGAUCCUCGGGGAUAUAAUGGAUAUCUUUAUACGCUGCGAUACCAGUCACAUUCCUGCGUCUGGAUGGAACUAUACCGCCUGCCUCCACUGAACAGUGCUGAUAAUGGAAGGACUGACUACGAUCCUGUAAUGGAAAAACAACCAAAGCCUGAAUAAUGGGGAAUAUAAGUAGGGGGUGUCCGCUAUGUCCUAGAGCAGGAAUGCUCAACCUGCGGCCCUCCAGCUGUUGCAAAACUACAACUCCCAGCAUUCUCUAAUAGCUGUAGGCUGUCUAUGCAUGCUGGGAGUUGUUGUUUUGCAACAGCUAGAGGGCGGCAGGUUGGGCAUUCCUGUCCUAGACCAUCACAUUUAUACAUCCCCCCCCCCCCAAUACACUAUAUGGAGAAAGUACCGGACCCUCCACAUUCCACCUCCAGGGGCUUUUCUCCCCUCCCAUUCUACGUCCAUAGGCAUAAACGCACAGCUGUCCCCCUUUGCCCUUCUAGGAAGGCUUUCUACAAGAUUUUGGGGGGUGUCUGGGAAUUUCUGCAUCUUCAUGUGGUGCAGCAUUCCUCGGGGAAAACAUGACAUUAUUUAUCAUCCAGUAACUCUAUCAGCGCAGCGCCCCCUCCUGGUACAAGAGGAAAGGGGCUUCCUGGUGUCCUGUAAGUAAAGCUUGAAGGGCCUUUAACUUUUCAUAGACACAAAUAAAAAGUUGUGAUUGGUGGGGUCUGAGCGCUGAGACCCCCACUAUCCCUAGAACGAGGGGAGAGGAGCGCUCUCGUGGUAUGGAUGGAAUCGAGGCAGACCCGUGGACUGCUAUGGGGCCCGUCUCGUGCAGCUCUAUGUGAGUGCUUCUUUGCUCUCGUUCUGGGGGGCACUCAGACCCCAUCAAUGAGAACUUGUGUCUCUGUCACAUAUCAAAAGCUUUUUGAAAAGUUACUUUCUGUAUAAAAAGCCCUGCAGCGUCUGAAUAUCCUCUCUGCAUCAUUUUUUUGGUUUUUGCUUGCUUUCAGUGAAUGUGGACACUCUUCCUUCCAGUCAGUAACUCUGCACACAGCUAGUCCUGCUCUUGAUAUCCGGUCUGAUGGAAAUCCAGGACUUUGUCGGGGGUCCUCACAAGUAAGACCAUCACCAUUAGUAAUCUGCCACCUGAAGAAGUCCUCCCCGUAGUCUACAGUUACAUGCCCCGCCCACUCACCCUCUCAGCCAAUCAGGACAUUCAUCAACAGGCAGACUCAAUCUUGAGCAAACAACCCCUUCAGUUGACAUGUGUUUUCUCCUCCACACAAGGGCUUGUUUUUUUCCAGAACGUGUCAGAUAUUUUUUUAAAUCUUUUUUAUAUAAUGUACUUGGAAACUUAAAAAAAAAAAAAACUAUUGGUAGGAUGGAUAGAAAAAAUAAUUCCUCCAUUGUGUAUUUUGGGGCUUUGUUUUUAUGGCACUGACUGCGCAGUAAACAUGGCGGCUCAAUUACAGCCGG